rnacentral:rRNA from 1 species
AACGUGUCCUGGAGUGGGGGAUAGCCCGGCGAAAGCCGGAUUAAUACCGCAUACGCUCUGUGGAGGAAAGCGGGGGAUCUUCGGACCUCGCGCUCAAGGGGCGGCCGAUGGCGGAUUAGCUAGUUGGUGGGGUAAAGGCCUACCAAGGCGACGAUCCGUAGCUGGUCUGAGAGGACGACCAGCCACACUGGGACUGAGACACGGCCCAGACUCCUACGGGAGGCAGCAGUGGGGAAUUUUGGACAAUGGGGGAAACCCUGAUCCAGCAAUGCCGCGUGUGUGAAGAAGGCCUUCGGGUUGUAAAGCACUUUUGUCCGGAAAGAAAACCUAUGGGUUAAUACCUCGUGGGGAUGACGGUACCGGAAGAAUAAGCACCGGCUAACUACGUGCCAGCAGCCGCGGUAAUACGUAGGGUGCGAGCGUUAAUCGGAAUUACUGGGCGUAAAGCGUGCGCAGGCGGUUUGCUAAGACCGAUGUGAAAUCCCCGGGCUCAACCUGGGAACUGCAUUGGUGACUGGCAGGCUAGAGUAUGGCAGAGGGGGGUAGAAUUCCACGUGUAGCAGUGAAAUGCGUAGAGAUGUGGAGGAAUACCGAUGGCGAAGGCAGCCCCCUGGGCCAAUACUGACGCUCAGCAC